UGAAAAACGAAGGCAAAACAAAAGCGAUUAUCAACUCAGCAUGGUUUUGACGUUUGAGUGACGUUUGCCGGUUUGACAGUUGAAAUAUACAACUGAUAUGGAAUUUUCACGGACAAUGAUCAGCAUUAGGAGGAUUAUUAUCGCCAUCAAGGGACUGCUUCAGAGGGAUGGAUUUCUUUGUCUUCUCUUCGAUCUGGUGCUUCUGAGAGUCAUGCGAGACCAUCAUAGAGGGAAACUUCGGGAACCAUUUUCUAUAACUCCAUCCAGAUUCUGGUACUUCGACAUCAGGGGCAAAAUUUACAUCCGGUCUUUCCAAUUCCUUGGCUUCGCGGAAGACAUCGACAUCAUCGGACGGAUAUCUGCGGUGCUGUGCGAGGCGUAUAUUCGAGGCUGAUAGAAUUGGAUGGAGGAUCAAUUCGUUGAAGACAAAGUACCUGCUUGUCGUAAGAUCUAACCGCGAUGCAGCCUCGGACUCGGAAGACUCGGAAGCAGAGUAUUAGUUGACGGCGACAAUCUUGAGGUAGUAGAGGAGUUCUGCUACAUUGACACGAUCGUAACUUCGGACAAUAACGUAAGCAGCGAAAUUCGAAGGCGCAUAGGAAGCGAAGAGGAGCACAGUGAGCUAGUUGGCUGGAUCAAGUGGAGUCAGAUCUGAGGGAGAUCGGAUGCAGCCGGAGAUGGAGGAGUGCAUCCAUGGACUGAGUUUCCUGGAAACUGAUUGGACAUCCGGCCAUAUCUUUUAGACGUGCUUUAUAGGAGCAGGCCAAGAAAUAAGAAGAAGAUUCUGGUACAGGUUGAUGAUAUGGACAAUGAUGUCCAUGAUGAUACUAGAAGAUGGUUACCAAAGGAUUCCAGGUAAUUUCUCCAAGAGCGAUUAUCAUGCUGAUCAUUUAGGGAGGAACGGUCCGAUGUUCCAAGCGGUAGUGGCGACGGUCUUCACGCGGCAGGACCGAGGAUCAAAUGGAGAUGAAGCAUCCGUCAGAGAAGUCGCGAGAUAUUGGAGAGGCGGACGACAGGUAUCGAGGACAUCUGGAACAGGUUCUGCUCAUCUUAAGAUGACAUUUUCUUUCAAACUCCUUACCCACCCAUCUACCUUGUGAUAAAAUCACUACCCUUGUUCGCACGUUCGCCGUCGAAAGGUAUGUGGUAUGUGUGUCUCAAUUACUCUCUCUUUUAUUUCUUAGAAAGUACUCUAAUUUUGCAUGAGCAUUAAAGGAAUAUUAAAUGUUGCUUGUCUUCUUCCCUUUUUUCUCCUCGUCUUCUCGUUUGUCCAUGUGUAAUGUUUGCUCUUAAACGAUGGAUUGGCUAGUACUGGUUUGUUGUUGUAUAGGUGUUUACAUAUGAGAGUCAAGCAUAUGCUACAGAAUGGUCACCGCCAACGGUUUACCCCAGGCGUGCUGUUCCAGAUACCCGGUCGCGUUAUGGCGGCGUUACCUGUGAAGGGCGGCUGAGUUAGCGCAGCAGAGUUAGCGUUACACCAUCCCCGGGUAGCCUAUCCCUCUAUUCAAGUGCAAGUAGUAAAGGAGGCGGACACGCGGUACACGGUACACAGGGUGACGAUCGCGACUACAUCUCCGAUCGCUUGGUGCAAACGCAAGCAAUAUGGGCAGCAAGAGCGCUACGAAAGCGAUCGCUGAUUGUCCACCCGCGGUUUCGGCGUUGUUAGUUAGUUCGCUUGAUUAGAUCGGCAAACGUAAGGUAACUACUACUUGGGGUUUGAGAAAAGAAAAAAAAAACACUCCAAGAAAU